rnacentral:rRNA from 1 species
GACGAACGCUGGCGGCGUGCUUAACACAUGCAAGUCGAGCGGUAAGGCCCUUUCGGGGGUACACGAGCGGCGAACGGGUGAGUAACACGUGGGUGACCUGCCCUCAGCUCUGGGAUAAGCCUGGGAAACCGGGUCUAAUACUGGAUAUGACUCCAUGACGCAUGUUGUGGGGUGGAAAGCCUUGUGCGGCUGAGGAUGGGCCCGCGGCCUAUCAGCUUGUUGGUGGGGUGANGGCCUACCAAGGCGACGACGGGUAGCCGGCCUGAGAGGGCGACCGGCCACACUGGGACUGAGACACGGCCCAGACUCCGUACGGGGGCGAGCAGGUGGGGAAUCUUGCGCAAUGGGCGAAAGCCUGACGCAGCGACGCCGCGUGAGGGAUGACGGCCU